rnacentral:rRNA from 1 species
GGGACCGAAUAAUGAUUAACAGGGACAGUUGGGGCCGUUCAUAUUUCGUUGUUUGAGGUGAAAUUCUUGGAUUUACGAAAGAUAAACUUGUGCGAAAGCAUUCGGCAAGGAUGUUUUCAUUGAUCAAGAACGAAAGUUAGGGGAUCGAAGACGAUCAGAUACCGUCGUAGUCUUAACCUUAAACUAUGCCGACUAGGGAUCAGUGGAUGUCAAUUUGCGACUCCAUUGGCACCUUGUGAGAAAUCAAAGUUUUUGGGUUCCGGGGGGAGUAUGGUCGCAAGGCUGAAACUUAAAGGAAUUGACGGAAGGGCACCACCAGUAGUGGAGCCUGCGGCUUAAUUUGACUUCAACACUGGGAAACUUACCAGGUCCAGACAUAGUAAGGAUUGACAGAUUGAAAGCUCUUUCUUGAUUCUAUGGGUGGUGGUGCAUGGCCUUU